GCCCCCGUGGCCUAGUGGGCACUAGGCUUGCACGCUGGAGGACCCGGGUUCGAUUCCCGGUGGGGUCG
rnacentral:tRNA from 1 species